GUGGGCUGGAUGUAUUGAGCCAUGCUUAUUGACUUACCAAUCAUUGAGAGAAGGCAGACGUACGCGUAGAUGUGUCGAAAUAGAGGACGUGGGCUGGAUGUAUUGAGCCAUGCUUAUCGACUUACCAAUGAUUGAGAGAAGGCAGACGUACGCGUAGAUGUGUCGAAAUAGAGGACGUGGGCUGGAUGUAUUGAGCCAUGUUUUUUGCCAUUGAGAACCGUCUGAUCUGCAGCACCUCGUGUUGCACUACAGCUCCCCCAACGCGGCCUGCUCUGCAGAACCAAACGAUUCUUCCUCUGCGUCUGCAACCCCGGCGACCCUGUACCAAUGUGCUCGGCAACAUUGACAGCAGCAGCGUCCGACGAUGCGGCGGAGCAACAACGACACGGUGCUGCUGGUUGACGGCUGCAGGUUCAUCACCGGGGUGCCGCACGUCUCCUGCGGCUGCCUGGACAAGGGCCAUGAUGAAAGUCAGAGAGGGAUGCAGAGAAGAAAGAGGGAGAAUAGUGAUCUCGUUCCUGUGGUGAAAGAAAUGAGUGACUCUGGUUGCUGCGCUCGAGAUAAAGCAGCCGAUGGGUGGGUG
rnacentral:lncRNA from 1 species